CAAUUGGUAGCUCAGUUGGUAGAGCGGCGAAAGCAAUUUCGUUUGUCGCGGGUUCAAUUCCCGUCCAAUAAC
rnacentral:tRNA from 3 species